rnacentral:rRNA from 1 species
CGGUCCAGACUCCUACGGGAGGCAGCAGUAGGGAAUCUUCCGCAAUGGGCGAAAGCCUGACGGAGCAACGCCGCGUGAGUGAUGAAGGGUUUCGGCUCGUAAUACUCUGUUAUUAGGGAAGAACAAAUGUGUAAGUAAACUGUGCACAUCUUGACGGCACCUAAUCAGAAAGCCACGGCUAACUACGUGCCAGCAGCCGCGGUAA